CCUACGGGGGGCAGCAGUGGGGAAUAUUGCACAAUGGGCGCAAGCCUGAUGCAGCCAUGCCGCGUGUGUGAAGAAGGCCUUCGGGUUGUAAAGCACUUUCAGCGGGGAGGAAGGCGGUGAGGUUAAUAACCUCAUCGAUUGACGUUACCCGCAGAAGAAGCACCGGCUAACUCAGUGCCAGCAGCCGCGGUAAUACGGAGGGUGCAAGCGUUAAUCGGAAUUACUGGGCGUAAAGCGCACGCAGGCGGUCUGUCAAGUCGGAUGUGAAAUCCCCGGGCUCAACCUGGGAACUGCAUUCGAAACUGGCAGGCUAGAGUCUUGUAGAGGGGGGUAGAAUUCCAGGUGUAGCGGUGAAAUGCGUAGAGAUCUGGAGGAAUACCGGUGGCGAAGGCGGCCCCCUGGACAAAGACUGACGCUCAGGUGCGAAAGCGUGGGGAGCAAACAGGAUUAGAUACCCGUGUAGUC
rnacentral:rRNA from 1 species